rnacentral:rRNA from 1 species
UACAGAGGGUGCGAGCGUUAAUCCGAAUUACUGGGCGUAAAGGGUGUGUAGGUGGUUAGGUAAGUUAGAUGUGAAAUCCCCGGGCUCAACCUGGGAAUUGCGUUUAAAACUGUUUAGCUAGAGUAUUGUAGAGGAUAGUGGAAUUUCCAGUGUAGCGGUGAAAUGCGUAGAUAUUGGAAGGAACACCAGUGGCGAAGGCGACUAUCUGGGCAAAUACUGACACUGAGACACGAGAGCAUGGGGAGCAAACAGG